rnacentral:rRNA from 1 species
AACGAACGCUGGCGGCAUGCCUAACACAUGCAAGUCGAACGAGACCUUCGGGACUAGUGGCGCACGGGUGCGUAACGCGUGGGAACCUGCCCUUAGGCUCGGAAUAACACCCCGAAGGGGGGGCUAAUACCGGAUAACGUCUUCGGACACAAGAUUUGUCGCCUUUGUAUGGGCACGCGUUGGUUUAGCUUGUUGGUAGGGUAAAAGCCUACCAAGGCGACGAUCCAUAGCUGGUUUGAGAGGCUGAUCCGCCACACUGGGACUGAGACACGGCCCAGACUCCUGCGGGAGGCAGCAGUGGGUAAUAUUGGACAAUGGGCUAAAGCCUGAUCCAGCUCUGCCGCGUGAGUGAUGAAGGCCUUAGGGUUGUAAAGCUCUUUUACCCGGGAUGAUAAUGACAGUACCGGGAGAAUAAGCACCGGCUAACUCCGUG